AUUGAACGCUGGCGGCAGGCCUAACACAUGCAAGUCGAACGAGUGGCGGACGGGUGAGUAAUGUCUGGGAAACUGCCCGAUGGAGGGGGAUAACUACUGGAAACGGUAGCUAAUACCGCAUACCAUCGGAUGUGCCCAGAUGGGAUUAGCUAGUAGGUGGGGUAACGGCUCACCUAGGCGACGAUCCCUAGCUGGUCUGAGAGGAUGACCAGCCACACGGGAACGGAGACACGGUCCAGACUCCUACGGGAGGAAGCAGUGGGGAAUAGUGCACAAGGGGCGCAAGCCGGAGGCAGCCAUGCGGCGUGUAUGAAGAAGGCUUUCGGGUUGUAAAUUACUUUCAGCGGGGAGGCGUUACCCGAAGAAGAAGCACCGGCGAACUCCGUGCCAGCAGCCGCGGUAAUAC
rnacentral:rRNA from 1 species